UACGUAGGGGGCGAGCGUUGUCCGGAUUUAUUGGGCGUAAAGGGCUCGUAGGCGGUUUGUCGCGUCGGGAGUGAAACCUUGGGCUUAACCCUGAGCCUGCUUCCGAUACGGGCAGACUAGAGGUAUGCAGGGGAGAACGGAAUUCCUGGUGUAGCGGUGAAAUGCGCAGAUAUCAGGAGGAACACCGGUGGCGAAGGCGGUCUCUGGGCAUUACCUGACGCUGAGGAGCGAAAGUGUGGGGAGCGAACAGG
rnacentral:rRNA from 1 species